AAAACAUCGCUAACAGCUUUUAUAUACCUUGUUAGUAACUCCUGCCCACUGAUUCUCUUUAAAGGGCCGCGUGAUUUCAAGCGUGCUAAGGUAGCAUAAUCAUUUGCCUUUUAAUUAAUGGCUAGAAUGAAAGGAGACACAUCCAAAAAAGUAUUAAGUUAAUAUAGUUUAAAACUUAUGAAUACAGUGAAAACCCUGAAACAUAAAACCAGGACGAAAAGACCCUAAAAACUUUCUAAUAAUAUUUUUGUUGGGGAAACAUAUGUUUAACUAAAACAACCUCCUCUCCCCCCCCCUAGAUCCUAAGUUACUUUAGGGUUAACAGGCCUAUUAUUUGAUUUUAUAGGCCACAUUAAAAAUCAAGUUUGGCACCUCGAUGUUGGCUUAAUAUAUCCUUUAAGAGCAACCCCUUAACAAGGUUGGUUUGUUAACCCAUAAAAAUAUUACGUGA
rnacentral:rRNA from 1 species